CUGGCGGCGUGCCUAAUACAUGCAAGUAGAACGCUGAAGAGAGGAGCUUGCUCUUCUUGGAUGAGUUGCGAACGGGUGAGUAACGCGUAGGUAACCUGCCUGGUAGCGGGGGAUAACUAUUGGAAACGAUAGCUAAUACCGCAUAAAAUGGAUUAUCGCAUGAUAAUCAAUUGAAAGGUGCAAAUGCAUCACUACCAGAUGGACCUGCGUUGUAUUAGCUAGUUGGUGGGGUAACGGCUCACCAAGGCGACGAUACAUAGCCGACCUGAGAGGGUGAUCGGCCACACUGGGACUGAGACACGGCCCAGACUCCUACGGGAGGCAGCAGUAGGGAAUCUUCGGCAAUGGACGGAAGUCUGACCGAGCAACGCCGCGUGAGUGAAGAAGGUUUUCGGAUCGUAAAGCUCUGUUGUAAGAGAAGAACGAGUGUGAGAGUGGAAAGUUCACACUGUGACGGUAUCUUACCAGAAAGGGACGGCUAACUACGUGCCAGCAGCCGCGGUAAUACGUAGGUCCCGAGCGUUGUCCGGAUUUAUUGGGCGUAAAGCGAGCGCAGGCGGUUAGAUAAGUCUGAAGUUAAAGGCUGUGGCUUAACCAUAGUACGCUUUGGAAACUGUUUAACUUGAGUGCAAGAGGGGAGAGUGGAAUUCCAUGUGUAGCGGUGAAAUGCGUAGAUAUAUGGAGGAACACCGGUGGCGAAAGCGGCUCUCUGGCUUGUAACUGACGCUGAGGCUCGAAAGCGUGGGGAGCA
rnacentral:rRNA from 1 species